rnacentral:lncRNA from 1 species
ACAGUUGGUCUACUAUAGGAGUAGGGUGUAUACCUAGAUAGAAUCUAUCAAUCCUAGCAGAAAGAAGUAGUCCUAUAAGAUUUAAGAAGUUGAGUCCUUAAGUCUAUGGUCAUAGCAGUGUGAUUGACGGAAAUUUUUUUUUAUGAGAAUCAUAUAUGAACUUGAGCUAAUUGAAUCUAUCAUAUGAUCGAUAAUGAGGUUUGAUGAUUUAUCC